GGGUUGUGAGGUUAAGCGACUAAGCGUACACGGUGGAUGCCCUGGCAGUCAGAGGCGAUGAAGGACGUGCUAAUCUGCGAAAAGCGUCGGUAAGGUGAUAUGAACCGUUAUAACCGGCGAUGUCCGAAUGGGGAAACCCAGUGCAAUUCGUUGCACUAUCGUUAACUGAAUACAUAGGUUAACGAGGCGAACCGGGGGAACUGAAACAUCUAAGUACCCCGAGGAAAAGAAAUCAACCGAGAUUCCCCCAGUAGCGGCGAGCGAACGGGGAGCAGCCCAGAGUCUGAAUCAGCUUGUGUGUUAGUGGAACGGUCUGGAAAGUCCGACGGUACAGGGUGAUAGUCCCGUACACCAAAAUGCACAGGCUGUGAACUCGAAGAGUAGGGCGGGACACGUGGUAUCCUGUCUGAAUAUGGGGGGACCAUCCUCCAAGGCUAAAUACUCCUGACUGACCGAUAGUGAACCAGUACCGUGAGGGAAAGGCGAAAAGAACCCCGGCGAGGGGAGUGAAAAAGAACCUGAAACCGUGUACGUACAAGCAGUGGGAGCACCUUCGGGUGUGACUGCGUACCUUUUGUAUAAUGGGUCAGCGACUUAUAUUCUGUAGCAAGGUUAACCGUAUAGGGGAGCCGCAGGGAAACCGAGUCUUAACUGGGCGUUAAGUUGCAGGGUAUAGACCCGAAACCCGGUGAUCUAGCCAUGGGCAGGUUGAAGGUUGGGUAACACUAACUGGAGGACCGAACCGACUAAUGUUGAAAAAUUAGCGGAUGACUUGUGGCUGGGGGUGAAAGGCCAAUCAAACCGGGAGAUAGCUGGUUCUCCCCGAAAGCUAUUUAGGUAGCGCCUCGUGAAUUCAUCUUCGGGGGUAGAGCACUGUUUCGGCUAGGGGGUCAUCCCGACUUACCAACCCGAUGCAAACUACGAAUACCGAAGAAUGUUAUCACGGGAGACACACGGCGGGUGCUAACGUCCGUCGUGAAGAGGGAAACAACCCAGACCGCCAGCUAAGGUCCCAAAGUCAUGGUUAAGUGGGAAACGAUGUGGGAAGGCACAGACAGCCAGGAUGUUGGCUUAGAAGCAGCCAUCAUUUAAAGAAAGCGUAAUAGCUCACUGGUCGAGUCGGCCUGCGCGGAAGAUGUAACGGGGCUAAACCAUGCACCGAAGCUGCGGCAGCGACACUAUGUGUUGUUGGGUAGGGGAGCGUUCUGUAAGCCUGCGAAGGUGACCUGUGAGGGUUGCUGGAGGUAUCAGAAGUGCGAAUGCUGACAUAAGUAACGAUAAAGCGGGUGAAAAGCCCGCUCGCCGGAAGACCAAGGGUUCCUGUCCAACGUUAAUCGGGGCAGGGUGAGUCGACCCCUAAGGCGAGGCCGAAAGGCGUAGUCGAUGGGAAACAGGUUAAUAUUCCUGUACUUGGUGUUACUGCGAAGGGGGGACGGAGAAGGCUAUGUUAGCCGGGCGACGGUUGUCCCGGUUUAAGCAUGUAGGCUGAUUGUCCAGGCAAAUCCGGAUAAUCAAGGCUGAGGUGUGAUGACGAGGCACUACGGUGCUGAAGUAACAAAUGCCCUGCUUCCAGGAAAAGCCUCUAAGCAUCAGGUAACAUCAAAUCGUACCCCAAACCGACACAGGUGGUCAGGUAGAGAAUACCAAGGCGCUUGAGAGAACUCGGGUGAAGGAACUAGGCAAAAUGGUGCCGUAACUUCGGGAGAAGGCACGCUGGUGUGUAGGUGAAGCCCCUGCGGGUGGAGCUGAGACCAGUCGAAGAUACCAGCUGGCUGCAACUGUUUAUUAAAAACACAGCACUGUGCAAACACGAAAGUGGACGUAUACGGUGUGACGCCUGCCCGGUGCCGGAAGGUUAAUUGAUGGGGUUAUCCGUAAGGAGAAGCUCUUGAUCGAAGCCCCGGUAAACGGCGGCCGUAACUAUAACGGUCCUAAGGUAGCGAAAUUCCUUGUCGGGUAAGUUCCGACCUGCACGAAUGGCGUAAUGAUGGCCAGGCUGUCUCCACCCGAGACUCAGUGAAAUUGAACUCGCUGUGAAGAUGCAGUGUACCCGCGGCAAGACGGAAAGACCCCGUGAACCUUUACUAUAGCUUGACACUGAACAUUGAGCCUUGAUGUGUAGGAUAGGUGGGAGGCUUUGAAGCGUGGACGCCAGUCUGCGUGGAGCCAACCUUGAAAUACCACCCUUUAAUGUUUGAUGUUCUAACGUUGGCCCCUUACCGGGGUUGCGGACAGUGUCUGGUGGGUAGUUUGACUGGGGCGGUCUCCUCCCAAAGCGUAACGGAGGAGCACGAAGGUUAGCUAAUCCUGGUCGGACAUCAGGAGGUUAGUGCAAUGGCAUAAGCUAGCUUGACUGCGAGCGUGACGGCGCGAGCAGGUGCGAAAGCAGGUCAUAGUGAUCCGGUGGUUCUGAAUGGAAGGGCCAUCGCUCAACGGAUAAAAGGUACUCCGGGGAUAACAGGCUGAUACCGCCCAAGAGUUCAUAUCGACGGCGGUGUUUGGCACCUCGAUGUCGGCUCAUCACAUCCUGGGGCUGAAGUAGGUCCCAAGGGUAUGGCUGUUCGCCAUUUAAAGUGGUACGCGAGCUGGGUUUAGAACGUCGUGAGACAGUUCGGUCCCUAUCUGCCGUGGGCGCUGGAGAAUUGAGGGGGGCUGCUCCUAGUACGAGAGGACCGGAGUGGACGCAUCACUGGUGUUCGGGUUGUCAUGCCAAUGGCACUGCCCGGUAGCUAAAUGCGGAAGAGAUAAGUGCUGAAAGCAUCUAAGCACGAAACUUGCCCCGAGAUGAGUUCUCCCUGAGACUUUAAGUCUCCUGAAGGAACGUUAAAGACGAUGACGUUGAUAGGCCGGGUGUGUAAGCGCAGCGAUGCGUUGAGCUAACCGGUACUAAUGAACCGUGAGGCUUAACCUUACAACGCCGAAG
rnacentral:rRNA from 1 species